UAACUCACUUAAAUUAUGGAUUAUUUUGAGUUGACUAUCCAAUCUUCAAAAUUUUGAUUUUACUAUCCAGCCUUUCAAUUUUUUUUGAUUUGAAUCAGUCAACAGUAUUUUGACUUUAAAAUUUAAGCUAAUUAUUUAUUUUUAAUAAAAUUUAUAAUUAUAAAAAUUGUAUGAAGUAACUAACUAAACUUAUAAAGAUAAACAAUAAAUAUAAUUUUGAAGUCAAAAUAUUAUUGACCGAUUCAAAUCAAACAAAUUAAAGGAUUCUGUAGUAAAACCAAAAUUUUCAAAAAUCAAAUAAUAAACUCACUAAAAUAAUUC
rnacentral:lncRNA from 1 species